GUAGUCAUACGCUCGUCUCAAAGAUUAAGCCAUGCAUGUGUAAGUAUAAAUAAUUUUACUUUGAAACUGCGAAUGGCUCAUUAUAUCAGUUAUAGUUUAUUAGAAAUAUUUUACUACUUGGAUAACCGUAGUAAUUCUAGGGCUAAUACAUGAGUAAAACCUCAACUUCGGAAGAGGUGUGUUUAUUAGUAUGAAAACCAUAUAUCUUCGGAUAUAAUAGUGAGUAAUAAUAACCUUUCAUAUCGUAUGUCGUAAGAUAACGAUAGUUCUUUCAAGUUUCUGCCCUAUCAGCUUUCGAUGGUAGUAUAUGGGACUACCAUGGCAGUAACGGGUAACGAAGAAUUUGGGUUCGAUUUCGGAGAGGGAGCCUGAGAGAUGGCUACCACAUCCAAGGAAGGCAGCAGGCGCGUAAAUUACCCAAUCCUGACAUAGGGAGGUAGUGACAAUAAAUCACAAUGCGGAACUUUUAGUUUUGCAAUUGGAUUGAGAACAAUGUACAAAUGUUAUCGAUAAACAAUUGGAGGGCAAGUCUGGUGCCAGCAGCCGCGGUAAUUCCAGCUCCAAUAGCGUAUAUUAACGUUGUU
rnacentral:rRNA from 1 species